AUUGAACGCUGGCGGCAUGCCUAACACAUGCAAGUCGAGCGAGCGGCGGACGGGUGAGUAAUGUCUGGGAAACUUCCUGAUGGAGGGGGAUAACUACUGGAAACGGUAGCUAAUACCGCCUACUAUAAGAUGUGCCCAGAUGUGAUUAGCUAGUGGGUGGGGUAAUGGCUCACCUAGGCGACGAUCCCUAGCUGGUCUGAGAGGAUGACCAGCCACACUGGAACUGAGACACGGUCCAGACUCCUACGGGAGGCAGCAGUGGGGAAUAUUGCAAAAUGGGCGCAAGCCUGAUGCAGCCAUGCCGCGUGUGUGAAGAAGGCCUUCGGGUUGUAAAGCACUUUCAGCGGGGAGGCGUUACCCGCAGAAGAAGCACCGGCUAACUCCGUGCCAGCAGCCGCGGUAAUUC
rnacentral:rRNA from 1 species